GACGAACGCUGGCGGCGUGCUUAACACAUGCAAGUCGAACGGUGAAGCGCCUUCCUUUUUGGUGGGUGUGGAUGAGUGGCGAACGGGUGAGUAACACGUGAGUAACCUGCCCCCUUCUUCUGGAUAACCGCAUGAAAGUGUGGCUAAUACGGGAUAUUCUGGGUCUGUCGCAUGAUGGGUCUGGGAAAGAUAUUGUUUCGGUGGGGGAUGGGCUCGCGGCCUAUCAGCUUGUUGGUGGGGUGAUGGCCUACCAAGGCGGUGACGGGUAGCCGGCCUGAGAGGGUGGACGGUCACACUGGGACUGAGACACGGCCCAGACUCCUACGGGAGGCAGCAGUGGGGAAUAUUGCACAAUGGGCACAAGCCUGAUGCAGCGACGCCGCGUGAGGGAUGGAGGCCUUCGGGUUGUGAACCUCUUUCGCCAGUGAAGCAGGCCUGCCUCGUUUGUGGGUGGGUUGACGGUAGCUGGAUAAGAAGCGCCGGCUAACUACGU
rnacentral:rRNA from 1 species